AGCAUACUUCACUAGCAUACUGGUGUGUUGGUGAAUGGCAUCAAUAGAAAAUAGGUGGUGCGUUGUUUCCCUGACUGGUGUGCUUUUUCAAAGGCUCUUUUUCUAUGGUCGAGACUACAGUGGAUUCGCAUUCGUGGUCACCUUGCAGCAGUCGCUAGGCUGUCGAUUCCAUCUUGAGGUAGUGCAGGGCAUCCUGGAAUCAAAUCCAACGUACAAAAGCUUAUCCAGUGGGUAGAAAGUUCCUCAUCAACUAUGGCAUCUUGCGCCAUAGCCCCAGGCCCAAAUUAUGGGAUCGAGUCAGUGGCAAGAGUGUACAGUUUGUGGGAGGAAUUGAAGCAAAAUUAACAUUGGCUGCUUUCGAAUGAAACAGUUUACAACAACGAAAAAAAAAACCAACAGUGGAAUAAAAUUAGCAGGUGUAUGUGUGCGUUCGAUUGUGGUUGGUGCGUGUACGUGUGCGGGAAGUGUUGUGUUAUAAAAGGUUUUUGGGUGAAAUUUUACAUCUUUCAAGAAAGGAAAAAAGAAAAUCACUCCCUCUCAGAUGAGAGCAAACACGACGUCGUGAGUGUGUGUGCGUGUGUGGUUAUUCACGCAACGGUAGUGUUGGUGCGAGCGAAAAUAAUUCUGAAGUUGCGCCACGACGUCGUCGUACUGCUAGCGCGAAAGCAGCGGAGAGGAGAUUGUGUUGUUUGAAAAUAAUACCACCCGUUCGUUGUAUGGGUGUUUACAUUUGUUUCUGUUUGAUCGCGGCACAGCAAGGCAGCAAGCAGGAGACACGGGCAGUGGUUUUCUGGGCUCGCCGUCGUUGUUAUUGGUGUGCUGCUGCUGCUUCGAGCUAGUGUCAAAAGUCGCUAGUGCAUAGUGCACAACAAAUAAUGGCGAAUCAUAGUGCGUUGUGAUAAGUGAUUCGCAAAACGUCGCAACCCACGCAAGCCACAAAGUACACAUUUAGUGCAAGCUUUUCCAUUCUCCCGUUCUAUAGGAUGCAUUUCUGCAUUGUGUGAUAUUAAGAAAAGAGGGCGAAAAAAUGAUGUAAAUUGUGUGCCCCUCCUGGUGCAAGUGUGUGCGUAUGGGCGUGUAUGUAUGUGUGUCUCUAUGUUUUACGGUUUCAUGUGAUGCGAAGUUUUUUGGCAACAAAGAAGUGAAGAAAGCGCCUACCAAGAUGAAAUACCUAUUUUGAUCGAUGUCUUAUCAGCUGUCAGCAAAAAGCAAAGCAAAAUAAUCGAAGCACCAGAAAAGGUCAAACGGUGAAAAGUGAUAGUUGCACCAGUUUCCGUGUAUUCCGUUUAUAAGCGAUCGAGAAAGAAGCCAGCCACCCAGCACAAUCCAGCAGCUUCAUCAUCAUCCAGCAUAGUUUUGGGUUUUACUUUACCCAUCAGCCAAGCCCUUUUGAAGCUGAAAACAAACAUACAAACCUUGCCAGUUUUGACCUGCAGCGCAGCAGAGUGUGUUUGUACCUUCGUAUUACUUUCUUGCUCGAUCUUUCUGCAAGCCACAUGCCAGAGGAGAGCGAGCGAGUGGCAAAGUACGAAGGACAGUAGGAAGGGAAAAAGGGAAUCCGUUGGAGAGCAUCGAAGCACCAGCAUCGUUCAGCCGUACAUACUGAAAAAAACGGAAAUAAUAAGCAGAAUUUAGCGAUUGCCGACCGUGCAGCAACCGAAGGCAGGCAGGAUGUCGUCAAAAAACAUACCAGCUGAUAAGGUAAGCAAAAUCGCAAAACCCCAACUUGGCGUCCGUUCGUUGCGCAAACUAUAAAAACCUCAUGAGCAACCGAGCAGAAGAAACGCGCAAGAUCCUCAGGAGAUCCAGGGAUGUCGGUGAGAUGGUAUUCACCGUUUGUUGGGGUUUUGGUCGGUGUCUUCCGCAUUGUAGACAUCGGUGGGCUCCAUCUUGUCGUGAUCCAUUUCCAGUGCCUUCCAUCCAGAAAUGAACCAUUUCCUAGUUCCUCGCGAUAUCGUUGCCGUGUGCAUAAUUGAAACUUUUCCCUCGGGUGGGUUUAGUUUGGUAGUAGUAGUGGUGUUCACUCUUACAGCUCCCAUGGAACGCACAUUGUCUUCACUAGUCUUCGAGGGUAGUGGGUUUUGGUUCCGUAAUCCACUCCGUUGACAGCAGAGGGGAGAUAGACUUUAAUGACAGACAGAUCGCGGCGAAGGCGGAAAACUUUCUCCCAAACGUCACCGGUUGCGGUGACGGUUGUGUGCAGUGUAGUGAGGCAAGUUUUCCAUUUCUGUCAAACGGUCUCAGGGAACUGGGUGCUUCUUUUCCUACGCAGCAAAGUUUGCGAAGCGAGGCACCGGUUUCUGCUGCGGACAAGCAGACUGGAUAGGUGUGCAGUCCGUGGGCCAUCAUUGCAAAAUUUCUUCGUUUGUGCUCGUAUGUUACGUUGGAUUGUAAGAGAUAUUCGUUUAUCUUGGGUAUAUGUAUUUGUAGAAAAGUAAAUUUAUAAGAAUUCUUCAAGUGAGAUUAUUUCUCAGUUGGAAUCGUAGGAAUAUCUUGAACAUUAUAACAUAAAACAUUAACAGAACCUAAAUGGAUGCCCAGCUAUUUAUUGUUUGGUUUAAUUGUGGCAUAUAUUGAAACAUUUUCAAUCGAUUCUUUACGUCUGAAAUUUGUUCAGUGUAUGCCACGUUUUGCUUUCAAGCUACUGUGCGAUGGAAGCGUUUGAAGUUACCACACAGCAAACAUGACGUUGAGUAAAGCUCGAACACGAGCUCGCUCAGACUGUUUUUCCAAGUCUUCAGGCUGUGUCGAACUAUUGGUUAUGAGUGUUUUACGAAAACCUGUUCCUUCCUGGGCAGAGACCGCAACAACCACUCUUCGCAAGCUGUUGCGCAGAAAAUCACAUCGCUCGAUGACGAAACGGUCGGUCGCGUCGGAAACGCGAUUCGCUGCCGUUCCGUGGCGAGACGAAUGAAAUCAGCGCUAAUUAUUGACCGAGUCACCGAGUCAGAGGGAGGAGUAGUAGGUAGCAGUACGUAAGUAGAGGACAUU